rnacentral:lncRNA from 1 species
CCUGUUUUGGAGCCUGAAGAUUCAUGUGGCGGAAAGUCCAAGGGAACUGUGUGGCAACCUGCAUCACCACUUCGAAUGCAUUACUCAGCCUAGCCCUGUUUUCCAGGAGUGGCUCCUGCUUUCUGUCUUAGUAAAGCCUCAGAAACCCUGACAGUUUCCAUCUGGAUCCCUCUUUUCAGCACUUGCCGCUUUCUUCAGUUUCUUCCCUGAACUUUUGUGGAACACAAGGAAGCAUUUCUUGGAGUGUCCAGCGCUCACCCACCCCCCCGCCCCGGCUAUUCCUCACCACUGGCUGCUGCGCAGAAAGCUCCUGGAUUCUGCCUUCU